GAAACUCUGAAAUAAAUAGGUGUGUAAAAAAUCAAAAUAAACAUUUAUAAGAUUCAAAGUCCAUACAAUACUUAUGAACAUUAAAUCGUAGCCAAAAUUUAUCAUGACCAUUCUAUUCUAUAACAGCAUUAUUUUAGUUUUAUUUAUUAAUUCGUUUAAAAAUUCAAUUUGAUUAAUUUGGUUAUUAUAAAUAUCAUUGGCUAAAUUUUGUUAUCAGAAAAAGAAAAAAUGAAGACCUUUAGGAACAUACAGAAUCCAAAAAUUAAACAAGAAUAAUCCAAAAAACUUAAAUGUUUCUUAAAGUGCACCCUUUUUAUUCAAAUACAAUGCAAAGGUGUUUAGGUUAUUGUAUUUUUUGGUAAUAAGAUUGUAUUUUUUGGUAAUAAGAAGAAAACUACAUAUUUUUUUUAUUUGUUUUCAACCUAUAAUUACUGUAAUUUUGCAAUGAUCAUUUUAUUUAAUUAACAAAAUAAAAACAGAAUAUUUGUAUAAUUUUUUUUUAAAUCCAAUUGUGCAAUGUUUUUGAAAACAGUUUUUAUGGAAACUUAUAAGAUAUUUUCCAUAGACAAUGUAUUUUUUGGCAAACUUUAUGAUAAGCCCUGUUGCUGUUUAUCACUGGUUGGAGAUUUUUUUUUUUGUUAAGUUUGUGAUAAAAGUGUGACACACAAAGUUUUAGAUUCUCAUAAAUUCAAUUUUAAUUACGAUGAUAUUGUUAUUAAUUAAUAACAUUACGAUUAAACUGAAAUUCUUGGAAAGUCACGUUAUUUGUAUCAAUCGUGGAAUGUUAACAUGUGCGAAUGACAAAUUAGCAACAUUUGCGGGUUGCGAUUAGGAUGGAAUACACCGCGGCGAACGAAACGGCCAAGUGUAGGAUUUUACUACAAAAACACACAGCUAGUUAUACAAUAUUUAUGGGUCAAACUGUACACGGAAUACAUUUUUCAGGCGUUCGUGGCACAGCACGGCCGCGACGGCCGGCCGUCGUCCUGUCAACCCACCAAUGUGUCCAUUUUGUAUCCAACUUGAACCUCGCGAUACUCCGCAGAAUACAAUACAUUCUCCAUGUUUUGUAAAGCCGUACUCCGCUUUCAUUGGCUGCCGCCACGAAAUUUGGCGACACGACUCACUUCCUGUUCUGUGAAAAUUAAAAAUAAUUUUCAUUGAAUUUUAUUAGUGGACACCCCGAAAUGACAAUCCAAACAGCCCUCUUUUGUAUGGAGUCAAAUGGAAGUUUGGAACCCCAAGUCCAAGCAGUACAUCGUUUCGCUUCGUUCUGUUUUGGAUUGCCAGCAUUUUUGACGCCUACGCGACUUUUCCCUCGUAGCACAGACUCUGCCUCGAUGUUGAUUUCGCGUGGAAUAUUUUGACUGUUCCCGCUCUCUUCUAUUGUACUAAAUUUCUCAGACAUGAAGACUAACAAAAAUAUUGGCUAUCUAAGUUUGUACACUGUUUAAAUAAGUUGUAAGAUCUAAUAUUAAUAAAUAAAUUAACGAUAA